GCGCCCGUAGCUCAACUGGAUAGAGCGCCAGCCUUCGAAGCUGGAUGUUGCAGGUUCGAGUCCUGCCGGGCGUACCA
rnacentral:tRNA from 2 species